UUGAAAUGUGCAACUGCUUAUUAUUAGAUAAGAACUUAACGAGCAUUACUUGACUUCGACCUUGAAUACUACAAAAUGAUGUGCUGCUUGCCUCUAAUAUUUGACCCACAUAAUAAUAACUGAUGGCAGGAAUGUGUUAAAAUUCAAGGAAUGGAAAUGCCACGAAAGACAUUGUUUCCGUAGGGAACCACCUUAUUGUAUUAAGAAAUCAGUUCCAUAAUUCUGCGUAAGUGUUCAUCGAAUAUUGUCUCAGAGGAGGAAUUUGCGGUACUGGCAUGGCUUUGACCAAUGUCUUAAUUUUAAUGGAUGCGUAGUCACUUCAAGAAAUGUAGAAAUGAAGCAACCAUUGAAUAAGAAACAACUGGUUGUGUGAAGCAAGAUGAAGCAUAUGAGAUCGACUUGAAAGCAAGUCCCCUGGAGAUGGCCAAAUGAGAACAUGCUUCGGGUAUUACAUGGCUACAGCUUCAUUAUUUUAUUCACAAAUUUUUUACCUGACAGGGUUGAAGCUUUAGUGAUUGUUUCUACAUGCAUCCUGAUGGUCCCUGAGAAAUUCUCACUGAUUGUGGUGGCAGAGUGGGGUAAAUAAUAAGAUAGUUGAAAAGGACAUGACCAAUCUGUUCCUAAUUUGUCCCCAACCUGAGCUGGUGUUGAGUCCCUAAUCGUGUGUCUCUUGUUGUUGAUGGGACAUUAAACCAUAACAAUUCUUUCCUUCAGUCACAAUAGCCACAAACACAUGAGUCUUAAAUUCUUCAACAAACUGCCAAAAAGAGCUCACUAGAUUCCCUUACUCAAAUAUUAGAAAAUAUUAGAAACUGUGCUAAAAGAGCGAGACUUUUAUACAGUUGAUGAAUUCACGGAGAGUGAUUUCCAA